rnacentral:rRNA from 1 species
UACGUAGGGGGCAAGCGUUGUCCGGAAUCAUUGGGCGUAAAGCGCGUGUAGGCGGCCUUGUAAGUCCGUUCUGAAAGUCCGGGGCUCAACCCCGGGAGGCGGAUGGAUACUGCAAGGCUCGAGUCCGGAAGAGGCAAGUGGAAUUCCCGGUGUAGCGGUGAAAUGCGCAGAUAUCAGGAGGAACACCGAUGGCGAAGGCAGGUCUCUGGGCAUUAACUGACGCUGAGGAGCGAAAGCAUGGGGAGCGAACAGGA